AUCGCUUCUCGGCCUUUUGGCUAAGAUCAAGUGUAGUAUCUAAAGACAAAUCACUGUGUGUGUGUGUGUUUGUGCGCGCGCGCGCUAUUUUGGAAAUGGCAGUCAAUAUUUUCUAAAGUGUUUUACCAAAAUAAAUUUUA
ensembl:snRNA U2 U2 spliceosomal RNA